GACGAACGCUGGCGGCGUGCUUAACACAUGCAAGUCGAACGGAAAGGCCUGCUUUCCCUUGUGGAUUGCGGGUACUCGAGUGGCGAACGGGUGAGUAACACGUGAGUGAUCUGCCCCCAACUUGGGUAUAAACCUGGGAAACUGGGUCUAAUUCCCGAUAGGACUGCAGGGUGGUGCCUGUGGUGGAAAACGAUUUUCUAGUGGUUGGGGAUGAGCUCGCGGCCUAUCAGCUUGUUGGUGGGGUAAUGGCCUACCAAGGCGGCGACGGGUAGCCGGCCUGAGAGGGUGGACGGCCACAUUGGGACUGAGAUACGGCCCAGACUCCUACGGGAGGCAGCAGUGGGGAAUAUUGCACAAUGGGCGGAAGCCUGAUGCAGCGACGCCGCGUGGGGGAUGACGGCCUUCGGGUUGUAAACUCCUUUCGACCGCGAGGAAGCCACCUGGUUGGAAGGGUGGUGACGGUAGUGGUAGAAGAAGCACCGGCUAACUACGUG
rnacentral:rRNA from 1 species